UACGUAGGGUGCAAGCGUUAAUCGGAAUUACUGGGCGUAAAGCGUGCGCAGGCGGCUUUGCAAGACAGAUGUGAAAUCCCCGGGCUCAACCUGGGAACUGCAUUUGUGACUGCAAGGCUGGAGUACGGGUAGAGGGGGAUGGAAUUCCGCGUGUAGCAGUGAAAUGCGUAGAUAUGCGGAGGAACACCGAUGGCGAAGGCAAUCCCCUGGACCUGUACUGACGCUCAUGCACGAAAGGCGUGGGGAGCAAACAGG
rnacentral:rRNA from 1 species